rnacentral:tRNA from 1 species
CGGGGUUUAGCGCAGUUUGGUUAGCGCGUCAGACUGGGGGUCUGAAGGUCGUGGGUUCAAAUCCCACAACCCCGA